rnacentral:lncRNA from 1 species
UGAGGGCAGCCGAGGCGGGGGAGGCCGAGCCGAGCAGGACCAGCACGUCCUCUUCCUCCUUCAACUCCAAGGUCUCGGAUUUGACAAACAUCCUACCGGGGAGAGCGGGGAGGAAGAAAGAACCAAACGAGAUGUAAAUACAGAAGCAGAGGCACGUUCUUGGUGCCAGCGGAAAGUACUCCUGCGCGCACCCACUAGGACUGGUUCGGAAGGGCGGCACCAAGGAGGAACGUAGUUAGGGAGGAGACCCCGCCAGUGCUCUCCAAGCUCAGGAGAGCCCCUCGUUGUGUCCCCGCUGCCAGCCAACAGGGUCCCGCCCUCGGCUGGUCGACCUCGCAGCUGUGUUCCCGCCCGGAAAGAGACAGCAGCCCCUGGGACAAAGAUUCUGUGCCUGCAAAGGGUGCUCGGACGUGGUGGAACAGAGUGACGGAAAAGAGUGCCGGAAACACCCUUCCAAGUUGGAAGACACCGGCGGAUACUUACGUAGUUCGCUCCCUCAGUGCGUCUUGGUGAAGCUAUUACUUUGGCGUGUGCUGCGAUUCUCCGCGCUGCCGGGAGCGCAGCGCUGCGUCCUUCUCUUAACGUGAAAGCGGCGGAUCUGGCGCGGCUCCGCGGGGGACCUCUCCGACUGGCGAGUUUGCCAAGAGCCCCGGAGGCCGCGGCGAUCCGCCCGGGUCUCGUGUGUUGUGGUGGUGGUGCGUGUCUGUCUGUCAGUCAGUCCUCGGCCGUGCAGCUCCUGGCACGCGACUCCCGGGCACUCCAGUUAAAGCGAAGCUGCUUGUGGUUCAGUGGCUGCGUGUCUGGCACACGACUCUCCUUAAAACCCCUUAUAUACCACCAAGAAAACAAUCAGAUCUGCCCCCAGGGCCCCCACCUCCCCCUCAACCCCUGCCGCCGCCUCCUCCUCCCCCCUGUGCAGGCCCCCCUUCUCCCCCGCUUUUCCCUCCCCCGGCUUAUUCUUUUCAUUGCAUUAUCAUCAUUCAUUUCUUUCUCUUUCUUCACCCACUUCCCCCCUCCCUGGCCCUGCCAUCCAUCCUCCUCCUCCCAUCGCCCCCCGCCUCUCUUUUCCCCCUUUAUCUAAUCAGCAUAAAAUGGUUCUAAAGCUCCUGUUGGAGCUCGAGGCUGCGGUCGGAGCGGCUGAAGCCGCGGUGGCAGCUUCAGCUCAAGCUGCGGCUGUUGUCGCCGCCGCUGCCCAUUGUGAUUGGUGGCUCGCGCUCGGCUGGAGCGUGCCGCUAAUUUAUUAAUGAAUGGAGGUCGCGAGGCGCAGCUGGCCAAUCAGGGCGCCCCGGACUCCGGGAGGCCUGCGAGCCACGCGCACCGGAGCCCGCUCCCUUUCAGCAGCUCAUUAGGGGCCGGGGCGCCGGGGGCCGUUGGGGAGACGGAGGCUACCUCCCCCCGCCCCCGUCCUUGCGGCCGCACCCCACCCCCAGCCCCGGCGCGCGCUCGCUCGCCGCACCAGGCGCUGCCCGGCCUCUCAGCUCCCGGACGUUGAGCUCCGAGGAAUUAGUUAAUGGGGGUCAGAAUCUCGGGGAAAGCAGCAACCCUCUGGUGCUACCCGGCGUCUCUUGGCAAAGCCUCUUAGGAGCUGUACCAAAUAGUAAAUGGUUUUAAAACGCAUUCAUUUGGUCAAGGGAGGAGUGGGGUGUGGGUGGCGAGUUGUGGGCACAUGGUGGGCAAACGUGUUUAGGUUCCAGAGAGAAUGGCGUGGAAGGGUGAAGGAAGAGGACGUUGGAAGGUUCAUCGAGGCGUCUCCUAGAAGGGGAGAUCCAGUGCAGCAGCGGUAGAUGGGCUUUUAGAGGAUGUGAGAAUAAACGCACUCACAGGUUAAAGCUAAAACCCUCCUCAUUUUGCCGGUGACAAACGGAGUCUCCGGGAACCGACGCAGGUUCUGUCUGUUCGUUUGCUUUGUUUUGUUUGUUUUGUUUUGGGGUUUAACCCCGGUUUACGGCAGAGCCAGACAACAAGGUGGCUUCCUUGCAAGGGUGGCAGCCAGCGGAGUGGGAGGAGCGGCCGACCUGCAGCGCCUGUGAGCGCCUGGGCUGAGCUGACAUUUCCGUGACCUCUGCUCCGCGCUGGGGGGCGUUGUAGGGACAAGGGGCCCGUCCUCCCGAUACUCGGCGCUUUUCAACGGGAAAAUAGAGCCGAGGGCUACUGGACUUCGGAGGGAACUUGUUCUGAAUUGCUCGUCGGCCCUCCCUCUCUCCUCCUCCCCCACGCUCACGCCCACCCUCUUGUCGCCUUGACUGACUUUUCUUAGAGACAGAACCAGAGUCCCUAGAAGUGUGUGUGCCGGAUGGAGCGUUAGACCGUGCCAGAGUAGCUGACAAGAAUCUGGACUGCGGUAGAUAGGAGAGAAGUCCCUUGAGUUCCCUUUUGCAAAUUCAGUUUAAGCAAGGCGUAUUUGGAAUGGUGGAAGUUGAAAAGUGACAAGAGAGAAAAGAUUCUUGUCUGCAGGUCUCUGUGUCACUCAGGUUGUAGGAAUUGGAAACAUUUAUUUCAGAGAAGGGCAUGAUGAAAGCGGUUGUUAGUGUUUUGGCAUGGUUUCAAUUUGUUUAAUGUUUUCUGCAUGGAGUAACUGCAGGAUUGGAAGGUGCAAAGUAAAGAAAAUGAAAAUUAGAAUCCCGUGAAAGAGACUUGUGCCCACUGCAGCCCUCCAACCUCCAGACUCCCUUCUGUCUUGAAAUGAUUUGAAAACUGCCUCAAUUUUCACUUUGCUCGUUGAUAUUUGUGUUUUGCCUCUCUUCCCCUUGGAAAGAGCAAGUUCCCUAUGCUUAAAAGCAUUAUUUCUCCAGAUGCCCCCUCAAUCUUUUCAGAACAGCUUGAUUUCAUGUGUUAGCAGUGCAAACAUUUAUAAAGAAGAGAGACACUUUCAGUCUCCAGAAUACAGCAUCUGCCUCUCUCACACUUCUUCGGGUCUCUGAUUCUGGAUCAUGAGCCUACAGAAUCAGAACUUCGUAAAAGAGUUUGAUCAAGCAGAAGAUAGGUCAGUAGU